rnacentral:ncRNA from 1 species
AAGCUUCUCUCAGGAUAGAGAAGUUUAUUAUAAAUUUACGAGGUAAGCGAAUGUUUGGAGGGCUGAGGGAUGAGGCAUCUUUAAGCUAUUAUCAAAUUUGAAUUUGUAAGAUACUUUAGGUUACUUAAUUGAACCUUGGCUUUGAAUAAAAAUUUAUAGCGUGCUAUUUUUGGUAAGCAGAGUUUGAAAUGCGGAAUGAACCGAGCGAGGGGUUAAAGCGUGUAAAUAUACACUUAUUUUGACACUACAAAAUAUGUUAAUUCAUUUGGACAGCUAGAUGGCAAAUAUGAAAGCCGCUAUCUGCUAAGUAGCGUGUAGCAACUCAUAUGUGAAUGAACAGCCCUAAAAAUAGAUAGCUUUAAAACGUGUUAUUUAUAACCAGAUGCUAAGUUUGUUAACAAGUU